rnacentral:rRNA from 1 species
UUAAGCGACUAAGCGUACACGGUGGAUGCCCUGGCAGUCAGAGGCGAUGAAGGACGUGCUAAUCUGCGAUAAGCGUCGGUAAGGUGAUAUGAACCGUUAUAACCGGCGAUUUCCGAAUGGGGAAACCCAGUGUGUUUCGACACACUAUCAUUAACUGAAUCCAUAGGUUAAUGAGGCGAACCGGGGGAACUGAAACAUCUAAGUACCCCGAGGAAAAGAAAUCAACCGAGAUUCCCCCCAGUAGCGGCGAGCGAACGGGGAGCAGCCCAGAGCCUGAAUCAGUAUGUGUGUUAGUGGAAGCGUCUGGAAAGGCGCGCGAUACGAGGGUGACACGCCCCGUACAACAAAAAUGCACAUGCUGUGAGCUCGAUGAGGUAGGGCGGGACACGUGGUAUCCUGUCUGAAUAUGGGGGGACCAUCCUCCAAGGCUAAAUACUCCUGACUGACCGAUAGUGAACCAGUACCGUGAGGGAAAGGCGAAAAGAACCCCGGCGAGGGGAGUGAAAAAGAACCUGAAACCGUGUACGUACAAGCAGUGGGAGCUCGCUUAGGCGUGUGACUGCGUACCUUUUGUAUAAUGGGUCAGCGACUUAUAUUCUGUAGCAAGGUUAACCGAAUAGGGGAGCCGAAGGGAAACCGAGUCUUAACUGGGCGUUAAGUUGCAGGGUAUAGACCCGAAACCCGGUGAUCUAGCCAUGGGCAGGUUGAAGGUUGGGUAACACUAACUGGAGGACCGAACCGACUAAUGUUGAAAAAUUAGCGGAUGACUUGUGGCUGGGGGUGAAAGGCCAAUCAAACCGGGAGAUAGCUGGUUCUCCCCGAAAGCUAUUUAGGUAGCGCCUCGUGAAUUCAUCUCCGGAGGUAGAGCACUGUUUCGGCAAGGGGGUCAUCCCGACUUACCAACCCGAUGCAAACUGCGAAUACCGGAGAAUGUUAUCACGGGAGACACACGGCGGGUGCUAACGUCCGUCGUGAAGAGGGAAACAACCCAGACCGCCAGCUAAGGUCCCAAAGUCAUGGUUAAGUGGGAAACGAUGUGGGAAGGCCCAGACAGCCAGGAUGUUGGCUUAGAAGCAGCCAUCAUUUAAAGAAAGCGUAAUAGCUCACUGGUCGAGUCGGCCUGCGCGGAAGAUGUAACGGGGCUAAACCAUGCACCGAAGCUGCGGCAGCGACGCUUAUGCGUUGUUGGGUAGGGGAGCGUUCUGUAAGCCUGCGAAGGUGUGCUGUGAGGCAUGCUGGAGGUAUCAGAAGUGCGAAUGCUGACAUAAGUAACGAUAAAGCGGGUGAAAAGCCCGCUCGCCGGAAGACCAAGGGUUCCUGUCCAACGUUAAUCGGGGCAGGGUGAGUCGACCCCUAAGGCGAGGCCGAAAGGCGUAGUCGAUGGGAAACAGGUUAAUAUUCCUGUACUUGGUGUUACUGCGAAGGGGGGACGAGAAGGCUAUGUUGGCCGGGCGACGGUUGUCCCGGUUUAAGCGUGUAGGCUGGUUUUCCAGGCAAAUCCGGAAAAUCAAGGCUGAGGCGUGAUGACGAGGCACUACGGUGCUGAAGCAACAAAUGCCCUGCUUCCAGGAAAAGCCUCUAAGCAUCAGGUAACAUCAAAUCGUACCCCAAACCGACACAGGUGGUCAGGUAGAGAAUACCAAGGCGCUUGAGAGAACUCGGGUGAAGGAACUAGGCAAAAUGGUGCCGUAACUUCGGGAGAAGGCACGCUGAUAUGUAGGUGAAGUCCCUCGCGGAUGGAGCUGAAAUCAGUCGAAGAUACCAGCUGGCUGCAACUGUUUAUUAAAAACACAGCACUGUGCAAACACGAAAGUGGACGUAUACGGUGUGACGCCUGCCCGGUGCCGGAAGGUUAAUUGAUGGGGUUAGCGCAAGCGAAGCUCUUGAUCGAAGCCCCGGUAAACGGCGGCCGUAACUAUAACGGUCCUAAGGUAGCGAAAUUCCUUGUCGGGUAAGUUCCGACCUGCACGAAUGGCGUAAUGAUGGCCAGGCUGUCUCCACCCGAGACUCAGUGAAAUUGAACUCGCUGUGAAGAUGCAGUGUACCCGCGGCAAGACGGAAAGACCCCGUGAACCUUUACUAUAGCUUGACACUGAACAUUGAGCCUUGAUGUGUAGGAUAGGUGGGAGGCUUUGAAGUGUGGACGCCAGUCUGCAUGGAGCCGACCUUGAAAUACCACCCUUUAAUGUUUGAUGUUCUAACGUUGACCCGUAAUCCGGGUUGCGGACAGUGUCUGGUGGGUAGUUUGACUGGGGCGGUCUCCUCCUAAAGAGUAACGGAGGAGCACGAAGGUUGGCUAAUCCUGGUCGGACAUCAGGAGGUUAGUGCAAUGGCAUAAGCCAGCUUGACUGCGAGCGUGACGGCGCGAGCAGGUGCGAAAGCAGGUCAUAGUGAUCCGGUGGUUCUGAAUGGAAGGGCCAUCGCUCAACGGAUAAAAGGUACUCCGGGGAUAACAGGCUGAUACCGCCCAAGAGUUCAUAUCGACGGCGGUGUUUGGCACCUCGAUGUCGGCUCAUCACAUCCUGGGGCUGAAGUAGGUCCCAAGGGUAUGGCUGUUCGCCAUUUAAAGUGGUACGCGAGCUGGGUUUAGAACGUCGUGAGACAGUUCGGUCCCUAUCUGCCGUGGGCGCUGGAGAACUGAGGGGGGCUGCUCCUAGUACGAGAGGACCGGAGUGGACGCAUCACUGGUGUUCGGGUUGUCAUGCCAAUGGCACUGCCCGGUAGCUAAAUGCGGAAGAGAUAAGUGCUGAAAGCAUCUAAGCACGAAACUUGCCCCGAGAUGAGUUCUCCCUGACUCCUUGAGAGUCCUGAAGGAACGUUGAAGACGACGACGUUGAUAGGCCGGGUGUGUAAGCGCAGCGAUGCGUUGAGCUAACCGGUACUAAUGAACCGUGAGGCUUAACCUU